GAUGACGGCCUUCGGGUUGUAAACCUCUUUCAGUAGGGAAGAAGCGAAAGUGACGGUACCUGCAGAAGAAGCGCCGGCUAACUACGUGCCAGCAGCCGCGGUAAUACGUAGGGCGCAAGCGUUAUCCGGAAUUAUUGGGCGUAAAGAGCUCGUAGGCGGUUUGUCGCGUCUGCUGUGAAAGACCGGGGCUCAACUCCGGUUCUGCAGUGGGUACGGGCAGACUAGAGUGAUGUAGGGGAGACUGGAAUUCCUGGUGUAGCGGUGAAAUGCGCAGAUAUCAGGAGGAACACCGAUGGCGAAGGCAGGUCUCUGGGCAUUAACUGACGCUGAGGAGCGAAAGCAUGGGGAGCGAACAGGAUUAGAUACCCUGGU
rnacentral:rRNA from 1 species